GUUGUAGGUGGGGUAACGGCCCACCUAGCCUUUGAUCCGUACCGGACAUGAAAGUGUGUGCCGGGAGAUGGCCACUGAGACGACGGGCCAGGCCCUACGGGGUGCAGCAGGCGCGAAAACUCUACAAUGCCCGCAAGGGUGAUAGGGGAAUCCCGAGUGCUUCCUUAGCCGGAAGCUUUUCCCGAGUGUAAUGUUCUCAGGGAAUAAGGGGAGGGCAAGGCUGGUGCCAGCCGCCGCGGUAAAACCAGCUCCCCGAGUGGUCAGGAUGAUUAUUGGGCCUAAAGCGUCCGUAGCCGGUCGUGUUAGUCGUUGGUGAAAGGUCGGGUCUUAAGCCCGAAUUUGCUAGCGAUACUGCGCGACUCGGGACCGGAAGAGGCAAAUGGUACGUUGAGGGUAGGGGUGAAAUCCUGUAAUCCCCAACGGACCACCGGUGGCGAAGGUAUUUGCUGGGACGGAUCCGACGGUGAGGGACGAAACCCAGGGGAGCGAGCGGGAUUAGAUACCCCGGUAGUCCUGGGUGUAAACGAUGCGCACUAGGUGUUGACGAAGCUACGAGCUUCGUCGGUGCCGAAGCGAAGGCGUUAAGUGCGCCGCCUGGGGAGUACGGUCGCAAGACUGAAACUUAAAGGAAUUGACGGGGGAGCACCACCAGGGGAGGAGCCUGCGGUUCAAUUGGACCCAACGCCGGAAAACUUACCGGAGUCGACAGCAUGAUGAUGGCCAGGCUGAAGACCUUGCUUGAAGCGCUGAGAGGAGGUGCAUGGCCGUCGCCAGCUCGUACCGUGAGGCGUCCUCUUAAGUGAGGCAACGAGCGAGACCUUCAUCCACAGUUGCCAGCACAAGAUGGUAUCUUGGUGGGCACACUGCGGAGACUGCCCGCGAAAAGUGGGAGGAAGGUGAAGGCCACGGCAGGUCAGUAUGCCCCGAAAGCUCCGGGCCACACGCGGGCUACAAUGGCUGGGACAGAAGGCCCCAACCUUGAAAGAGGAAGGAAAUCCUUAAACCCAGUCUCAGUUGGGACUGAGGGCUGCAACCCGCCCUCACGAACGUGGAUUCCCUAGUAAUCGCGUGUCAUCUAUCGCGCGAUGAAUACGUCCCUGCUCCUUGUACACACCGCCCGUCGUUGCACUCGAGUUGGGUUUGCCUGAGGCUGCAUUUUCCUUCGGGAAGGCGUAGACGAAGGUGAGUUCGAUAAGAGGGCAAAAGUCGUAACAAGGUA
rnacentral:rRNA from 1 species